rnacentral:SRP_RNA from 1 species
UGUUGGUCACCUGGUAAUACUCACUUGUGAAUUCGGUCAGGUCCGGAAGGAAGCAGCCGUAGCAGGCUUUGUAUGUAUUUGGAUGCAGCCAGCAGAGU